rnacentral:rRNA from 1 species
GACGAACGCUGGCGGCGUGCUUAAUACAUGCAAGUCAACUUGACUUUAGAUAGCAAUAUCGAAAAGUAGGGUGGCGCACGGGUGCGUAACGCGUAGGUAAUCUGCCUGAGUCUGUCAUAACCCGUCGAAAGGCGGCUAAACAUCAGAUGAUAUAUAAUCACGACAUCGUGGAAAUAUCAAAUCUUCGGAGCCUUGGGAUGAGCCUGCGUCUGAUUUAGGUAGUUGGCGGAGUAAUAGCCCACAAGCCUACGAUCAGUAGCUGGUCUGAGAGGAUGAUCAGCCACACUGGAACUGAGACACGGUCCAGACUCCUACGGGA